AUAGGGGAGCCGCAGGGAAACCGAGUCUUAACUGGGCGUUAAGUUGCAGGGUAUAGACCCGAAACCCGGUGAUCUAGCCAUGGGCAGGUUGAAGGUUGGGUAACACUAACUGGAGGACCGAACCGACUAAUGUUGAAAAAUUAGCGGAUGACCUGUGGCUGGGGGUGAAAGGCCAAUCAAACCGGGAGAUAGCUGGUUCUCCCCGAAAGCUAUUUAGGUAGCGCCUCGUGAACUCAUCUCCGGGGGUAGAGCACUGUUUCGGCUAGGGGGCCAUCCCGGCUUACCAACCCGAUGCAAACUGCGAAUACCGGAGAAUGUUAUCACGGGAGACACACGGCGGGUGCUAACGUCCGUCGUGAAGAGGGAAACAACCCAGACCGCCAGCUAAGGUCCCAAAGUCAUGGUUAAGUGGGAAACGAUGUGGGAAGGCUCAGACAGCCAGGAUGUUGGCUUAGAAGCAGCCAUCAUUUAAAGAAAGCGUAAUAGCUCACUGGUCGAGUCGGCCUGCGCGGAAGAUGUAACGGGGCUAAACCAUGCACCGAAGCUGCGGCAGCGACACUAUGUGUUGUUGGGUAGGGGAGCGUU
rnacentral:rRNA from 1 species